rnacentral:lncRNA from 1 species
UUCAGCUUAGAUUCAUAUGCAAGUUAACGAAAGACCAGAAAGUUUCAAUUGAGGCGAAACUAAAAGAAAGAAAGGAGAUUCCCAGACUUUUGAACUUCAAUAAGCUGAAGAGGCCAACAACGGAUGUGAAGCACAUAAAGAUUGGAUGUGAAGCACAUAAAGAUUGGCCAGAUCUUUGUUCGGUGAGCUUGCUAUUGGUUAGGAUAGAUUAAUAAUUCUAAACGAUUGUUCUGUAAAUGGAAAUGGAAUCUGCCCAACAUGUCUUGGAUUUAUUGGAAAGAGCCUAACGUCAAUAUUGCUCCUACGCCUGUGCAAAGGGCUCAUCAGUCUGUUAAUACAGGUGAAAACGGAGCACACAUUCAAUAAUAACC